rnacentral:ncRNA from 3 species
CAAAGGCUUGGUCCUGACUUUCCUAUCAGCUUUAACCAAAUUUACACAUGCGAGUAUCCGCACCCCCGUGAGAAUGCCCUACAGUUCCCUGCUUGGGAACAAGGAGCUGGUAUCAGGCACAUACCUCCAUAGCCCACGACACCUUGCUUAGCCACACCCUCAAGGGAAUCCAGCAGUGACAGACAUUAAGCCAAUGAGUGUAAACUUGACUUAGUUAUGGUUAAAAGGGCCGGUAAAACUCGUGCCAGCUACCGCGGUUAUACGAGAGGCUCGAGUUGACAGGCUCCGGCGUAAAGCGUGGUUAAGGGUAAAUUAAACACUAAAGCCGAACGCUUACUAGGCUGUUAUACGUACCCGAAAGUAAGAAGCUCAACUACGAAGGUGGCUUUACCUUACCUGACCCCACGAAAGCUAAGGCACAAACUGGGAUUAGAUACCCCAUUAUGCUUUGCCCUAAACAUUGAUAGUUUAAUACAAUCGCUAUCCGCCUGGGAACUACGAGCAGUAGCUUAAAACCCAAAGGACUUGGCGGUGCUUUAGACCCCCCUAGAGGAGCCUGUUCUAAAACCGAUAACCCCCGUUCAACCUCACCUUUUCUUGUUCCCCCCGCCUAUAUACCGCCGUCGUCAGCUUACCCUUUGAAGGCCCUUUAGUAAGCAUAAUUGGCACAGCCUAAAACGUCAGGUCGAGGUGUAGCGUAUGGAAAGGGAAGAAAUGGGCUACAUUCCCUGUUACAGUGAAUUACGGAUAAUACCACUGAAACGUGUAUCUAGAAGGAGGAUUUAGCAGUAAGCAGAAAGUAGAGCGUUCUGCUGAAACCGGCCCUGAAGCGCGCACACACCGCCCGUCACUCUCCCCGAGCGUAUUUUUUCAAUUUAACUCAAAACCUUUCGACAGCAAAGGGGAGGCAAGUCGUAACAUGGUAAGUGUACCGGAAGGUGCACUUGGCUAAAACU